rnacentral:rRNA from 1 species
GCAAUACCAAUAGUGGCGCACGGGUGCGUAACGCGUAACCAACCUACCCGAAUCUGGGGGAUAGCCCGCCGAAAGGCGGAUUAAUACCGCAUAAAACUGCAGCUUGGCAUCAAGUAACAGUUAAAGAUUUAUUGGAUUCGGAUGGGGUUGCGUGCCAUUAGCUAGUUGGCGGGGUAACGGCCCACCAAGGCGACGAUGGCUAGGGGAGCUGAGAGGCUGGUCCCCCACACGGGCACUGAGAUACGGGCCCGACUCCUACGGGAGGCAGCAGUAGGGAAUAUUGGGCAAUGGUCGAGAGACUGACCCAGCCAUGCCGCGUGCAGGAUGAAGGCUUUCUGAGUCGUAAACUGCUUUUACCAGGGAAAAAAAAAGGGGAUGCGUCCUCUACUGACGGUACCUGGUGAAUAAGCACCGGCUAACUCCGUGCCAGCAGCCGCGGUAAUACGGAGGGUGCAAGCGUUGUCCGGAUUUAUUGGGUUUAAAGGGUGCGUAGGCGGCCGAUUAAGUCUGGGGUGAAAGCCCGUUGCUCAACAACGGAACUGCCCUGGAAACUGGUUGGCUUGAGUACAGACGAGGGUGGCGGAAUGGAUGGUGUAGCGGUGAAAUGCAUAGAUACCAUCCAGAACCCCGAUUGCGAAGGCAGCUGCCUAGACUGUAACUGACGCUGAGGCACGAAAGCGUGGGGAGCGAACAGGAUUAGAUACCCUGGUAGUCCACGCC